GACGAACGCUGGCGGCGUGCUUAACACAUGCAAGUCGAACGCUGAAGACCUGGCUUUUGUUGGGUUGGAUGAGUGGCGCACGGGUGAGUAACACGUGAGUAACCUGCCCUCUUCUUUGGGAUAACGCCCGGAAACGGGUGCUAAUACUGGAUAUUCACUGAUCUUCGCAUGGGGGUUGGUGGAAAGGUUUGUUCUGGUGGGGGAUGGGCUCGCGGCCUAUCAGCUUGUUGGUGGGGUGAUGGCCUACCAAGGCUUUGACGGGUAGCCGGCCUGAGAGGGUGACCGGUCACAUUGGGACUGAGAUACGGCCCAGACUCCUACGGGAGGCAGCAGUGGGGAAUAGUGCACAAUGGGCGAAAGCCUGAUGCAGCGACGCCGCGUGAGGGAUGGAGGCCUUCGGGUUGUAAACCUCUUUCGCUCAUGGUCAAGCCGCAACUGUGGGUUGUGGUGAGGGUAGUGGGUAAAGAAGCGCCGGCUAACUACGUG
rnacentral:rRNA from 1 species